CGAGUCUGCUCCUCCCCCAUCUCCAUGACCUUCGCUGCGCAACCCCGACCGUGUGGGGAGCUAUUCGGGAGUAAGCGGGUCGACGACGUAGGGACGUUGUGGACGUCGACUUCAGCCGUACCUACAGACUCCGCGUGUGGCCGGGAGCGUCGCCGUCAAUCAGGGAAGGCGCGAGCACCAUCUGCGGCUGGAGUUCUGACUGAAUUCUCGGACGAAUUCCUUGUCGGAGUGCGUUACCGCCGUGGGAUCCACAUCGCCGUAGGCAACCGCUUCCGAAGUCGCAUCCGCCUCCGGUAAGCUGUUGAUCGUGUCC
rnacentral:lncRNA from 7 species